rnacentral:rRNA from 1 species
GUGGGGAAUAUUGGACAAUGGGCGAAAGCCUGAUCCAGCCAUGCCGCGUGUGUGAAGAAGGUCUUCGGAUUGUAAAGCACUUUAAGUUGGGAGGAAGGGCAGUAAGUUAAUACCUUGCUGUUUUGACGUUACCGACAGAAUAAGCACCGGCUAACUUCGUGCCAGCAGCCGCGGUAAUACGAAGGGUGCAAGCGUUAAUCGGAAUUACUGGGCGUAAAGCGCGCGUAGGUGGUUUUGUAAGUUGGAGGUGAAAUCCCCGGGCUCAACCUGGGAACUGCCUCCAAAACUGCAUGACUAGAGUACGGUAGAGGGUAGUGGAAUUUCCUGUGUAGCAGUGAAAUGCGUAGAUAUAGGAAGGAACACCAGUGGCGAAGGCGACUACCUGGACUGAUACUGACACUGAGGUGCGAAAGCGUGGGGAGCAAACAGGAUUAGAAACCCGGGUAGUCC